rnacentral:lncRNA from 1 species
UAAGUUCAUCUUCUUCACUUGUGUUCUUUACUUUCUCUCCCAGAUUUGUUCUCUUGGGUUCACUAGUCCUGGAGCAUACUGGUACUGAAGGAGUGAAAUGUACAUGAUCAGAGUGAUGAUACAUGUUCUGUAGAAUCUUUUGCCUUUUUAUUUUGUUUACUUAUGAAGAACAGUGAUGAUGAUACAUGUUCUGUAGAAUCUUUUGCCUUUUUAUUUUGUUUACUUAUGAAGAACAGUGAUGAUUCUUUAUUGGCAACUCUGCGAUAAAUUUAAAUUUUAGAUCCGUCUCCUUC